rnacentral:rRNA from 1 species
UGGGGAAUAUUGCACAAUGGGCGCAAGCCUGAUGCAGCCAUGCCGCGUGUAUGAAGAAGGCCUUCGGGUUGUAAAGUACUUUCAGUCGGGAGGAAGGUGGUAAGGUUAAUAACCUUAUCAAUUGACGUUACCGACAGAAGAAGCACCGGCUAACUCCGUGCCAGCAGCCGCGGUAAUACGGAGGGUGCAAGCGUUAAUCGGAAUUACUGGGCGUAAAGCGCACGCAGGCGGUUGAUUGAGUCAGAUGUGAAAUCCCCGGGCUUAACCCGGGAAUUGCAUCUGAUACUGGUCAGCUAGAGUCUUGUAGAGGGGGGUAGAAUUCCAUGUGUAGCGGUGAAAUGCGUAGAGAUGUGGAGGAAUACCGGUGCGAAGGCGGCCCCCUGGACAAAGACUGACGCUCAGGUGCGAAAGCGUGGGGAGCAAACAGG